UAAAAUACACACAAAGGGAUGAGGUAGCUCAAGCUAUUCUCACCCCGUUCAGUACAUCGUGUUAAUACAUACAUAAACACACAUCACAAGCAAUAAACGUAUUACCGAACAUUCUGAGAGAUAAAAACAUAUACAUUAACUAGCACAGCACGAGGAUAUGGUCGUUAAGCACUGUGACGUCACCAAUGACGUUGGGCAAGAAGGUCAGGAGCGGCCGGCGCCGCGUCAGUGUCGGGCUGACAGCCAGCAGACGUGGUUCCUUAGGCGGUGUCCCGCUUCUUACAUCAUUUGCAGCUAUACCGGUCAUCAGGUGGGUGUGGAUUUCUGGAAUGUAACUCACGGAACCAAUUUUAUCCGAAUUACCUUGGUUAAGACCUGGUAUUUGGGUCUGGCUCGACAAUGGCCACGAGUCUUCUUGAGAAAUAACUUGGUGAACGGAGGACUAGUCAGUCACACAAGGCACGGAACUAGUUCUGGCGUGACGUAGCUGCAAGUCUCGGUAGAGGUGGUUGGACGGUGUUGAACACGGCGGCUGGCAACGUUGCAGGAAUAUCUGAAAGAAAA